AUUGAACGCUGGCGGCAUGCCUUACACAUGCAAGUCGAACGGCAGCGGACCUUCGGGUGCCGGCGAGUGGCGAACGGGUGAGUAAUGCAUCGGAACGUGCCCUGGAGUGGGGGGAUAACGUAGCGAAAGUUACGCUAAUACCGCAUAUUCUGUGAGCAGGAAAGCAGGGGAUCGCAAGACCUUGCGCUCUGGGAGCGGCCGAUGUCGGAUUAGCUAGUUGGUGGGGUAAAGGCCUACCAAGGCGACGAUCCGUAGCGGGUCUGAGAGGAUGAUCCGCCACACUGGGACUGAGACACGGCCCAGACUCCUACGGGAGGCAGCAGUGGGGAAUUUUGGACAAUGGGCGAAAGCCUGAUCCAGCCAUGCCGCGUGAGUGAAGAAGGCCUCGGUU
rnacentral:rRNA from 1 species